UUGCUAGCCAGAUACUGACAUUGAGGCACGAAAGCGUGGGGAGCAAACAGGAUUAGAUACCCUGGUAGUCCACGCCCUAAACGAUGAGUACUAAGUGUUGGUGAUAAAUCAGUGCUGAAGUUAACGCAUUAAGUACCCCGCCUGAGUAGUACGUACGCAAGUAUGAAACUUAAAGGAAUUGACGGGAGCCCGCACAAGCGGUGGAGCAUGUUGUUUAAUUCGACGAUACGCGAAGAACCUUACCAGGUCUUGACAUCUAGGUGUUAGUUAUAGAGAUAUAGCGAGAUUGCCUAAGACAGGUGGUGCAUGGUUGUCGUCAGCUCGUGUCGUGAGAUGUUGGGUUAAGUCCCGCAACGAGCGCAACCCUUAUUUCUAGUUACCAUCAUUCAGUUGGGGACUCUAGAGAGACUGCCAGUGAUAAAUUGGAGGAAGGUGGGGAUGACGUCAAAUCAUCAUGCCCUUUAUGACCUGGGCUACAAACGUGCUACAAUGGCUUAAACAAAGAGAAGCGAAGCAGUGAUGUGGAGCAAACCUCAUAAAAGCAGUCUCAGUUCGGAUUGAAGUCUGCAACUCGACUUCAUGAAGUUGGAAUCGCUAGUA
rnacentral:rRNA from 1 species